AGAGACAGAGAAACAGAGGAAAAUAAAAAUAAAAACAAAGUCAGAAAGGAGAAAAGUAACGAGCACGAGUUGAACACACAGAAACCAAACCAGCCGAAACAACGGAGUUGAAAGUUGUGAGGGAAAAUGUUUUCAAAUUUUAAAAUGAAAAAGUGGGAACGAAGAGCAGCGUUGAGAGCCGGGAGAGGGGGCGGUGAGGCCGGGGACUGAGGGGGCGCCGGGAGGUCCCGCUCGGGCCGGAGGCAGCAGAACCGUAGCGAGCCAACCGAGGGAGAAGUGGAGUUAGUGUGAGGAGGAAGCCCCGGAUCCCACCCCUAACCCCCCUUCGCCUCCUCCAGAGGAUCCAAUAAAUCAAAAGGCGAAAUGAAACAAAAUAAAGAGAAGAAAAACGCUAAUAAUCAGGACGAGAACGCCGAGGACGAGGGAAGACUGGGGCCAGUGGCUCCCCGGGGGCAGGGAGCGGAGGGAGGGGGAAUAACGUGAAAGUUACCAGAAACAUUAUUUAGCAGCGGAUUCCCUGCGUCCUUGUCAAUUUCAGAGACAAAACAAGCAGCCCAGGCUAGUCUAGGCGGCGGCGCAGCGGCUGCGGCAGCGCGGCCCCAGCGGCGGCCCCGGCGGCGGCGGCGGCUCCUACGCGGCCAGUGCCCGCCCCGAGCCGCGGGAGCGGCGGCGGCAGCGGCGGCGGCAGGAGAACCGGGGGAAUCGCGCUGCUGGGGUAAAAGCUGGAGCGAGGCGAAAGCGUGUAACAAUUGCACACACACACACACACACCACUCACACGCACUCGCCGCCCGCCCGCUCGCACAGCGCUGGAACACGCGCGCCCAGACACGCACACACGCACGCACACACACUCGCACACACGCAGAGGCACGAGGGGGAAAAGAAGCCGAUGAAUAAUUUUGCUGCUAUUUUUUAAAUACUGUCCGCCAUCAUCAAGCAGCGAGCAGCAGCAGCAGCGUUGAAGGGAGAAGAGGCAUCGGGACAGGCCCCUCUUAGGAAAGGAUUUAUAUCUAGGAUUCUCUCCAAGACUGAUAGGAGAGACAGGGCCACUUCUGGACUAGCUGUAAAGAUGUGUUUUCAUUACCGUAACACUGAAGCAUCUUUUAUAAACUUUUUAAGAUAUUUAAAUAAGUGUAUUUGGACAUUAAGAGAAGCUACACAUACAAAGAUAGCUUGGCUUUACGCCGUCAAUCCCAGCAUUAAAAGAAA